CAUCGGAAGGCUCAGAGUAGUUUCAGACUGGAAGAUGGACGGAUCAUUUUGUGAACAAGAGCCUAUACGAAAUGUAGAUAAGACUGAAUGGAAUGGCUUGUUCCUCGGUGUCUCCCAACCAAAGGAAAAAAUGAAACUGUGGUUCAUAUCGUGUGCUCUUGGUGACUGUAGAGUGAAUGGAAAAUCUACGGGUUGCCUCUAUUCUUCUGCAGGAGAUAGCACGUGUGGUCCUUUGGGUGCGUGCUCAGUGUGAAUGUAAGACCGGACACACGAUUAGGAAGAUCUACGGGUCACCUCAAUCCACGUGCAGGAGGUAGCUGGGCGUGCGCUCACUAAAAAGAAAUAGCUGGCACAAAGUUCUAUUGUCGAAUGGCAACGUGGUGUAGUCUACGGGCUCUAAGCAAGAGCCCGUGCUGGCAUAAGGCCAGCUUAUUCUUAAAAAAACUGGUGUGUAGCGGUUUUCUAAACAUGUUGGUCCUUGAUUAUUUUAAAACUAGGAAAUUAUUCUCCUUUCACUAAGAGGAAAUUAUUCUCCUUUCACUAAGAGAGACUUACUUAAAUAUGUGGUUAUUUUUCACUUUAUUACUUUAAAAAUCUUACAGAAAUUUUUGGCGAAACUUCACACAAGAUUAAUCAUAAAGCCCAGUGCCUGCCAACUACAGCUGUCUGGCAAAAAAUUUAUUUUUUUAGUAUUAGAGGCGUUCAGAAAUUUUAUUAUUUUUUUUUAUCAACCCUAGGCUUAAUAAGAUCUCCAUGAGUGUUCCAACAAUCUUCUCCAUCUCUUGCUCCGACAAUCUUCUCUGAGGACUCUCUUACUUGUAGUCUUCUUGCUCUGAGGCUAAUUUAGUUGCUCGCGAGCUGAACAGUAGCAGCCAUUUUCACUCUAGCCUGUAAAAUAGGGCGAGGUUUUUCUUAAUUAAAAUUACAUUAUUUACAUCAAAUUUGUGACAAAUGACAAACAAAUGAUUGUUAUAACACUGAAAAAUGAAAUGACCAUACAAUUACAAAGAAAUAACUAAAAAGAAGCCACGUUUUUAAACGGACCCACCUAUUUUCUUGUGUAUUCAGUCUAAUCUCUUUGCAAGCUUGCACUGUGUUUUUGUUAAGGCCUCCUGCUUACAGUCUUCUUGUUUUUGCUCUGAGGCCUCUUACUUGGAGUCUUCUUGCUCUGAGGCCUCUUACUUGGAGU